CGGCUAUACAGGGCGGACAGAAAUACAUCUCAAGAUAUUUUGGUUCUUCGAGGAUCAUUCGUCGAUCUAGCGAUCCGCGAGAUUGCGUAUCGCGGAUCUGUUGAGAAACCUCUCGGCGGAUAUCUCCUGACGGAUUCUUACUUUCGCGCCACUUUCCCGACGCGAGACAAUGCUCGUCACGAAAGCCAUGGGAGACAUAAUUGUUGCUGAAACGCACAUUUCGCACGCUCGAUGGAAAAUCAUGUGACUGGAAACCGCAAGUAUGAAGGCGUUGGUUUUCACAGUUCCUCUUGGCGAAGAGAAAACGACAUUAAAUCGAGCGUGUCGAGUUCAACUGCAGAGUCUCUGAACCCUUCGCCUCGAGGUCAGGAAUUUCACGCGAGGGUCAAUCACUGUCACUUGCAUUGCCGAAGUCAAACAUUUCGAGCUAGCUAAUCGAGAUUUCCAACAAAUACCAUUAAAUUUGGUCAAUUGCAAUAAAAAUAUAACAAAAUAUCUUAA
rnacentral:lncRNA from 1 species